rnacentral:rRNA from 1 species
CCCUUAGAUGUUCUGGGCUGCACGCGCGCUACACUGACGCACUCAACGAGUUUACGACCUUGCCCGAUAGGGUUGGGUAAUCUUUUUAAAAUGCAUCGUGAUGGGGAUAGAUUAUUGCAAUUAUUAAUCUUCAACGAGGAAUUCCUAGUAAGCGCGAGUCAUCAGCUCGUGCUGAUUACGUCCCUGCCCUUUGUACACACCGCCCGUCGCUCCUACCGAUUGAGUGCUCAGGUGAAUAAUUCGGACUGCAGCAAUGUUUGGAUCCCGAACGUUGCAGCGGAAAGUUUAGUGAACCUUAUCACUUAGAGGAAGGAGAAGUCGUAACA